GACGAACGCUGGCGGCGUGCUUAAUACAUGCAAGUCGAACGCUGAAGCUCAGCUUUUGUUGGGUGGAUGAGUGGCGAACGGGUGAGUAACACGUGAGUAACCUGCACCCUUCUUUGGGAUAACGCCCGGAAACGGGUGCUAAUACUGGAUAUUCACUGGUCUUCGCAUGGGGGUUGGUGGAAAGGGUUUUUCUGGUGGGGGGUGGGCUCGCGGCCUAUCUGCUUGUUGGUGGGGUGAUGGCUUACCCAGGCGUUGACGGGUAGCCGGCGUGAGAGGGUGACCGGUCACAGUGGGACGGAGAUGCGGCCCAGACUAGUACGCGGGGCAGCAGUGGGGAAUAUUGCACAAAGGGCGCAAGCCUGAUGCAGCGUCGCCGCGGGAGGGAUGGGGGCCUUCGGGUUGUGAACCUCUUGCGCACAAGGUCAAGCCGCAACAAUGGUUGUGGUGAGGGUAGUGGAUAAAAAAGCGCCGGCUAACUACGUG
rnacentral:rRNA from 1 species